UACGUAGGGAGCAAGCGUUGUUCGGAUUUACUGGGCGUAAAGGGCGCGUAGGCGGCCUGUUAAGUCGAACGUGAAAUCCCUGGGCUCAACCCAGGAACUGCGUCCGAUACUGGCAGGCUUGAAUCCGGGAGAGGGAUGUGGAAUUCCAGGUGUAGCGGUGAAAUGCGUAGAUAUCUGGAGGAAUACCGGUGGCGAAGGCGGCAUCCUGGACCGGCAUUGACGCUGAGGAGCGAAAGCCAGGGGAGCAAACGGG
rnacentral:rRNA from 1 species